rnacentral:piRNA from 1 species
UGCUGACUGUCUCAUGGUGCAUGUAC